rnacentral:rRNA from 1 species
UACGUAGGGUGCGAGCGUUUGUCCGGAAUUAUUGGGCGUAAAGGGCUCGGUAGGCGGUCUGUCACGUCGGGAGUGAAAACUCAGGGCUUAACCCUGAGCCUGCUUCCGAUACGGGCAGACUAGAGGUAUGCAGGGGAGAACGGAAGUUCCUGGUUGAGCGGUGAAAUGCGCAGAUAUCAGGAGGAACACCGGUGGCGAAGGCGGUUCUCUGGGCAUUACCUGACGCUGAGGAGCGAAAGUGUGGGAGCGAACAGG